GUCCCGCCCUGUCAGCUCCCCUGGAAACCUCUUCCCCUGAGCUGAAGAUCCAAAUCAUGUGUUUCUUCACUUUUACUUUGCACACUAAUAUUUGUGGUCACCCUCCCCUUACAUUUCAUGAAGAGAGGGUGAACCUGUGAAAUGUCAAUGCGGAAUCUGGAUGCCAAACAUUUGAUCUCAAUGAAUUUCAUGGGAAGACACAUUUGAAUUAUGUACAGUGUUGUUUCGAAGUUCAGUGUUUUAUUUGAAUUAUGUACAGGGAGCGAAUUUUAGAGCAGAUGGUGUUUUGCCUAGUGACGCGCUGUUGAGCUUUCACCACGAGAGAAAAAUGCUAAGAUUCUCACAAUCAUCCUACAUCUCAUAAGAAAUUAGGUGGUGUUUUUUGUCUUGCAGUGACGUUAUACCAUGCUAUUAUUUUCAGUUCUGUUAUAUAGAAUACUAUCAUUAUGUGAUCUUGCUGACACAGAUUCAGUCUUGAUUUAACUUAAACAAGCAUCAUUCUCCAUUUCUAACAGACAUUUGCCGAAGUAGCCUUUUCUUCGGGGCUACUAAACUAGUAAAGCAGAGACUGUGUGUAAAGGAGAGUAUCCCACACAUGCGCUGAAGCACGGAAAAUGGUUCUAGAGAAUUCGGAUAUGCAGCCACUCUGUAUUUUGAAACUUCUCUUAACGGUCUCAAGGGUACAAAAAUGUACAUUAAAUUAUAAAAAGACUGACAUUGUUAGGGCCACGCAACAGGAACCGGCGACCAUCGCACCACGUUGUAAAGAUGAGCAUGUCAAGUGGGACUAGGACAGUCAAAACUGGGGAUGACGAGACAACACUGCUAUUCUUAGCUCUUUUGUUCAGUGUUGAGAGAAGAGUUGGGACCCUACUAUCACCUCCACUACCACCCUAUAACCAGGCCACGAACGCCAGACUGCCAGCCACCAAAGUAGUUCUCAUUAUUACGAGAUGUGGAAGAUCAAACGUAAGUGGCGCCACCAUUUUGUGGCAUGCAUGCUCUUUCACAUCCAGUCAAAACGAAAAUAACAAAAUGACUGCAUAUGGCAAGUUGUUUUUCCCUACACACACAGGCUACAGUUCAGCAUGGCUGAGAGACAUUUCCAGCCAGGCAACUAAUAGAACUAGGUAGAACUCACACCUUAAAUUCCUUUGCGUUACGAUUUUGAUUAGAGAUUAACAAUAUAAAAUGCCACUGUACUGCAUUCCUGAUGUAAAACUUCUCUUACAGCCCCCAUCACGUACGCUUUGGAAGCAAAGUACAGGCCCUAUCUUGAGGGUAACUAAGGAAUAAGCUAUGUGGAUGGAAGCCAUCGCAGCCUUGAAAUGCUUUCAAACAUCUGGUCGGACAACAAGGCCGUGUAUCGUGUUCACUAGGCACCGGAUGGACUGAAACAGGGAGGGAUUUCCUGGCCUUGCCCCAGGAAAUUCCAGACUGACCUGGAAUUUGAAUUGAAUUAAAUGGAAUGUACAGGGAGCGUGAAAGAUAUGAAAAUGCAAUUUGUGGAAUUGACACCAACCCUUGUACAAUGUGAUACUUUAUCCUCAACUGCAAUUAAAACUAAAUGUAAUUGAGCUCAUUAACUCCAUCAGUUUAAGUUUAUAUAAGUUUUAGGCUUUUAGUUUACAUUUUCAGAAUAAGAAUAUCUGGGCUGCUAUCAAUUAACAAUCUUGAGGACUCCAAGCAAAAGCAAUCAAUGCCCAUCCAUGCUCCUUCUCACACAGUAGUUUGAAGUAACAUUGUAAUGGUACGUGGUGUAAGAAAGAGGAUAUACUAAUUCAGUGGUGCACAGCAUCCCUGCACAAACCAAUCAGACCUAUAGCAAACAUGAUUGAUUGACACUUCUCCGUUCAGCUCUGGACCAAUUGGCAGAGGAGUUGCCAGGGAAGCUGUACUCAAGGGCCGAACUGUCACAUGAAAAAGAAGACAAGGGAGUGACCGUGGGAGACCCUUCCCUUUCCCAAUGGGGUGGCCCGUGACUGGCCUGACACCAGAGCUGUAUGGUCAGUGCUGCUCUUUAAGUGCCUGCCAGUGUUCCCUUCUUUACAACCUAAACAAUUUAUUGUGUGUAUUGUGUUUGCCUUUUUAUGCAGAAAGAUUAUUUGUACAAUGAAAAAUAUCAAAAUAUAAUUUAUUAUUAUGUUCCAGAUGUUAGUGUGGUAAUAAAAACUGCUCUAGG